rnacentral:rRNA from 1 species
UGAGUUAGCGGCGGACGGGUGAGUAACACGUGGGUAACCUGCCCAUAAGACUGGGAUAACUCCGGGAAACCGGGGCUAAUACCGGAUAACAUUUUGAACCGCAUGGUUCGAAAUUGAAAGGCGGCUUCGGCUGUCACUUAUGGAUGGACCCGCGUCGCAUUAGCUAGUUGGUGAGGUAACGGCUCACCAAGGCAACGAUGCGUAGCCGACCUGAGAGGGUGAUCGGCCACACUGGGACUGAGACACGGCCCAGACUCCUACGGGAGGCAGCAGUAGGGAAUCUUCCGCAAUGGACGAAAGUCUGACGGAGCAACGCCGCGUGAGUGAUGAAGGCUUUCGGGUCGUAAAACUCUGUUGUUAGGGAAGAACAAGUGCUAGUUGAAUAAGCUGGCACCUUGACGGUACCUAACCAGAAAGCCACGGCUAACUACGUGCCAGCAGCCGCGGUAAUACGUAGGUGGCAAGCGUUAUCCGGAAUUAUUGGGCGUAAAGCGCGCGCAGGUGGUUUCUUAAGUCUGAUGU